CUCUGAGACCCUGGCCCGCAAGUACUUCUACCUCAACGUGUCGGGGGGAAGCGUGGAGGCUGAGCAGGAGCUCCAGGCCCGGUUCAGAGCUGUGCUGCGCUGGCCCCAGGGCAGGGCCCCCCUGCACCUCACCACAUCCCUGCAGCUGGGGCUGGUCCUUGGCGUCGCGGGGCUCGUGCUGCUGCUGCUGCUGCUGCUGGCCUCCUGGCGAUGCUGCCGAAAAUCUCCGGAGCCUCCCAGACCCCCGUGACUCCCGGGCACCCCAUGGACCUGGACACCAGGGCCUCAAAGGGAGUGUGGACUCCUGUGGACUUUCACCAGGCUCUUUCCCCGAGGGCCAAAACAUCAGCAGUUGCUCAUCGUGCGUUGUCCACUGGGUGUAAUGGGGACUCCCGGGGCCUUCCCCUGACUCUUUGCCCGUAUGGAGUGGGGGAGAAUUUGCCUUUGCUUCUGUUACAAAUUAUAAUCAUAAUGUCUUAGCUAUUUCUGGGAGAGAGAAGGUAUGGGACAGGAGGGGAUGACUGAACCCCACAGAGGCAGGAGCCACUGUGCGCGCGGCCCCGGGAGAGCUGUGUGCCAGAGGGUCCAACGCAGCCAGGGAGCGCCUGUCGUCCCAACUCGCUGCUCGGGCACAGAGGCAGCAGCGCAGCAGUGAUGUGCUCUGAGAGCACAGAGCGGCCCGGCACAGGGCUGCACCGACACACCCGCACUGCCGCUGCCACGGAGCUUAAUGCACUGCGGCUGUUCCCAAACGGAGCAAGCAAGUGAACGAGUCGCAUCUUGUCCUCCGCACUGAGAUCUCUCUGCGCUGAGAAGCACUUGUGCAAAGGCACGUAGAUAUCCUUGAAGUGCAGGAGCUGGAAUCCUAAACUCAUUUGAUAUGUGCCUGGGCUCCUUGUCCUCGUCAUAACCUGUCCCCACCUCGGAGCCGCCCCAAGCGCCCUCCCGGAUGGGCACUCUGGGGCAGUGCUGCUUCACAUGGAGCUCGGUUCAAUAGGAGAUCCACGGUGAGAAGGAUUCCUGCAGUUUAAAGAGCAGCGAAAACGUGCGCUUGCCGGGAAAGACUUGAGCAAGGGAGAUUCAUCCUUGGUGGAAAGGAUCGGGUCGGGGAACGCUGGGGCAAGCUGGAUGCGGACAAGUUCCUGGGCGCUGAGGGAUGCACCCACAGCUGCUGGGGGGGCUGGCGGGUGUCACUGCACGGCCACUCCCCAUCAGCUUUGACUGACCGCGGCACCUGCGAGCAGCAUCCAAAAUCUGGAGGAAAGCAAACAGAAGGGGGAAAGGAGGAGGGAAACCGCAGCCCCUCUCUGCCCCCAGCCCACGCUCUGCAACACCGCAGUUCCCAUCCAUGCAUGCCCCGAUCUCCUCUGCCGCCCUCCACGCACACCCCAGCCCCUGCCAUUCCUCACACCCAAACCAUACCCCCUCUAUGUACCCUCCAAUCCCCUCUGUUGCCUUCUAAGCGCUCUCAGAUCCCCGUGACCCACCCCAUCCACCCGUGGAUUCGUCCAGUUCCUAGCACCUCGGAUGCCCUCCAUUCUCACCGCGACCACUCAAGGUCUCUCCAGUCCCCACUGUUUG
rnacentral:lncRNA from 1 species